GGGAUGAGCUGUGGAUAGGGGUGAAAGGCCAAUCAAACUUCGUGAUAGCUGGUUCUCUCCGAAAUGCAUUUAGGUGCAGCGUUGCGUGUUUCUUGCCGGAGGUAGAGCUACUGGAUGGCCGAUGGGCCCUAAAAGGUUACUGACGUCAGCCAAACUCCGAAUGCCGGUAAGUGAGAGCGCAGCAGUGAGACUGUGGGGGAUAAGCUUCAUAGUCGAGAGGGAAACAGCCCAGAUCGCCGGCUAAGGUCCCCAAGUCGUGGCUAAGUGGGAAAGGAUGUGGGACUCCCAAAACAACCAGGAGGUUGGCUUAGAAGCAGCCAUCCUUGAAAGAGUGCGUAAUAGCUCACUGGUCAAGUGAUUCCGCGCCGAUAAUGUAGCGGGGCUUAAGUUAUCCGCCGAAGCUGUGGCAACCUGUGUGGUUGGGUAGGGGAGCGUCGUGUCAGUGGUGAAGCUGCCGGGUGACUGUGUGGUGGAGUUGAUGCGAGUGAGAAUGCAGGCAUGAGUAGCGUGUGACGGGUGGGAAUCCCGUCCGCCGAUUAUCCAAGGGUUCCAGGGUCAAGUUUGUCUGCCCUGGGUGAGUCGGGUCCUAAGGCGAGGCCGACAGGCGUAGUCGAUGGGUAACCAGUUGAUAUUCUGGUACCGGCUUGUCACCGUCCGUGUCGAGGUGUGUGAUGCUAAGCAUGUGAGCUUGUCUUGGGAGUGUUUUUGAUGCUUCUGGGGUGGGUGAGUGUGUGAACCGAUCAUGUAGUAGGCAAGCUGCGGAGGGACGCAGUGAGGUAGCUCAUCCCCGGUGAUGGUUGUCCGGGGCUAAGUGUGUGGACUGUCUGGUAGGUAAAUCCGCUGGGCGUGAAGGUUGAGGCAUGAUGGGGAGCCCAUGGUUGUGGGUGAGUGAGUGAUCCUGUACUGUCGAGAAAAGCUUCGUGAGCGAGGUGGCGGGUCCGCCCGUACCCUAAACCGACACUGGUGGAUAGGUAGAGUAUACCGAGGCGAUCGAGUGAAUCGUGGUGAAGGAACUCGGCAAAAUGCCCCCGUAACUUUGGGAUAAGGGGGACCUGAGCUGUCGUGCACCCGUGCGGUGUGGUGGCGGUGAGGGGCGCAGAGUCCAGGGGGAAACGACUGUUUACCAAAAACACAGGUCCGUGCGAA
rnacentral:rRNA from 1 species